rnacentral:ribozyme from 11 species
AAGCAGAAGAACAACAUGAACGUUUUUUUUUUUUUUGGUUUUUUUGUUUUUUUUUUUUUUUUUU